GUUCGUUGGUGGGACAUCUAUCAUCAAGCUCUUAUGUCUUUAGCUGCCCAAGUACGCUGGCGCAAACUUCUGCUACGGUUCAAGGUAAUCUUGCAAGCAUACCUGAAGCGGUGGAAGAGGAUCACAUAGUUUUCACUAACACAGGUAAUCUUGAAAGCAUACCUGAAGCGGUGGAAGAGGAGCACACA